rnacentral:lncRNA from 1 species
GUUCAUAUUCACAGUAGCUUGUUUUCCCAGCACACUUGCAAAGUUUAAACCUACACUGUAAAUAGAAUACUGUGAAAUUUACAGUAACUUGCUGGCAGCAAUUAGCAAGUAAGUUGCUGUAGUUCAUUUCACAGUAUGCUUACUGUAAACUUAAUUGCAGUAACUUUAAAAAUACUGUAAACUUUUUUACAGUAAUAAUCACAGUACUGUGUUUCAUCACCUCACAUAUUAUACUACUGUAAUAGGGAUUACUGCAUUAAUUUUGUGUACUGUAAAAUGAAGACACUGUUUUUGUCACAAAAAUGCCCUUUAUUGACAACUUUUCACACUUUAAAUUUCUAAAUUCAUAAAAUAAAAAUAGCAUAGCAAAAACAUUUUUUUCAAUAGGUAAACAUUUUUCUGUUAACAUUUCAUUUCGUUUUGUAUACAACAACACUUUCUGAACAUACAAAUCAAUCCUGUUCCUUUUACUGAACAUACAAAUCAAUCCUGUUCAAAUGUAUUAAAAUGUUCGGUUAAAAUUAGAAUGUAUAAAAGACAAAUUAAAUGAUUUAAUAGUAGAAUUUGGUCCCUGAACGUUGUUUUUCUCCCAGAACUGUAUUUUUCUUCAAAAACGGGCCUGAACUAGUCAAUUUCAUGGGCUGGAGUCUUCCACCCUGCAGUGGAAGAAAUUAAUUAUUAAUGGAAAAUUUAUAAGCAAGACAGAUGGGUUGAUGACAAUAUAUAUAAAAGUUUGAUUGGAUCAUUUGAUUUAGCCAAUCAAUAUGUAAUACAAUGUCCACUUCUCUAUAAACCAAAACUCUUACUUAAAACACACAUUUACAUAUAUAUUAGGGCUUGGAGAGAAAAAUCGAUUCACCUAGCUAUCACGUAGAUUCUAAAAUCUUUUUAUUGUUCCAGACCUUUCAAUUUGUCUGUCUAUUAAACUUUUGACCAAAUCAUAUCGCAACAUUAAAUCUGUGUUGGCGCUGCCGCUGACCCAGAGAGAGUGAUGUUAGUCAUGAAACAGCUUAACAAACAGUCUUUUAAAUAAAUAUUUGUAUUUUUGAUAUUUUAUAUGCUCU